rnacentral:rRNA from 1 species
AAAUUGAAGAGUUUGAUCAUGGCUCAGAUUGAACGCUGGCGGCAGGCCUAACACAUGCAAGUCGAGCGGAAACGAGUUAUCUGAACCUUCGGGGAACGAUAACGGCGUCGAGCGGCGGACGGGUGAGUAAUGCCUAGGAAAUUGCCCUGAUGUGGGGGAUAACCAUUGGAAACGAUGGCUAAUACCGCAUGAUGCCUACGGCCGAAG